rnacentral:rRNA from 1 species
GCGGGCGGCUUCCGGGAAACCAAAGUUUUUCGGUUCCGGGGGAAGUAUGGUUGCAAAGCUGAAACUUAAAGGAAUUGACGGAAGGGCACCACCAAGAGUGGAGCCUGCGGCUUAAUUUGACUCAACACGGGAAAACUCACCCGGCCCGGACACUAGAAGGAUUGACAGAUUGAGAGCUCUUUCUUGAUUUAGUGGGUGGUGGUGCAUGGCCGUUCUUAGUUGGUGGAGUGAUUUGUCUGGUUAAUUCCGAUAACGAACGAGACUCUAGCCUACUAAAUAGAUAGUCGGCUUACAAACGUCGACUAGACUUCUUAGAGGGACAGGCGGUGAUUCAACCGCACGAAACAGAGCAAUAACAGGUCUGUGAUGCCCUUAGAUGUCCGGGGCUGCACGCGCGCUACACUGGAGAAGUCAGCGUGCUAUACCAUUGCCGAAAGACAUUGGUAAACCGAUCAAAAUUCUCCGUGAUCGGGAUCGGGAAUUGCAAUUAUUUCCCUUGAACGAGGAAUUCCCAGUAAGUGUGGGUCAUCAGCUCACGCUGAUUACGUCCCUGCCCUUUGUACACACCGCCCGUCGCUGCCCGGGACUGAGCCGUUUCGAGAAAAGCGGGGACCGCUGGUGUCGGG